UGAGGAACAUGACCUUCGGCGGGGGAUAGCCGGCCCAACGGCCGGGUAAUACCGCGUACGACCACAUGGGGACAUCCCUGAGUGGUGAAAGCAGCAAUGCGCCGAUGGAGUGCCUCGCGGCCUAUCAGCUAGUUGGUGAGGUAACGGCUCACCAAGGCAACGACGGGUAGCUGGUCUGAGAGGAUGGCCAGCCACAUUGGGACUGAGACCACGGCCCAGACCUCUACGGGGA
rnacentral:rRNA from 1 species